ACCAUGCCUUCGGGCAUGGGGACAGCGGCGAACGGGUGAGUAACACGUGGGUAAUCUGCCCUUGACAUCGGGAUAGCCCGGGGAAACCCGGAUUAAUACCGAAUAGCCUCCGAAGCCUUCGGGCGUCGGAGAAAAGGUAGCUUCGGCCUCUGGUCAAGGAUGAGCCCGCGGCGGAUUAGCUUGUUGGCGGGGUAACGGCCCACCAAGGCGACGAUCCGUAGCUGGUCUGAGAGGACGAUCAGCCACACUGGGACUGAGACACGGCCCAGACUCCUACGGGAGGCAGCAGUGGGGAAUCUUGCGCAAAUGCGGGAAACCGUGACGCAGCGACGCCGCGUGGGGGAAGAAGGCCUUCGGG
rnacentral:rRNA from 1 species